UAGUAAUUAUAUUCUUUUAAUUAUGUCUUACACCCAAACUAAUAAAAAUCAAGAAGCAAACGUCAAUAUCGUCAUCUUUAUUUCAUUCAUUAGCACGUGUAACUCUUUGAAUAUUUAUUUUAAUCGUUGUUUUAUUUAACCGCUUUCAUAUCCACUGGUUUAUCAGUCAUAAAACUCCCACAAACAUAUUUAUUUUCAAAUUCAAAACCAA
rnacentral:sRNA from 1 species